rnacentral:ncRNA from 1 species
UUACUAUUUUAAAAUGGUAGAGUAUAAGUAUAUAAGAUGAUGAGAUAUGGAUAUAUGAAUUAUUACUUUCCAGCUAAUAAUAUUAAACAAUUAAUAAAAAAUUAAAUUUAGCGCCUUAUAAAAGGUUGGCUAAUUUGAGUGCCAGCAGCCGCGGUUAUACUUAAAACCCCCUUAUCUUAAUAAUUAAAUGGCUUUUUUAACUAAAAAUAGAUAUAUUUAGGUAAAAUUACAUAUUUUUUAUUUAAACUUUAUGUUAAUAGAUAAAAAUAAAAUAAGAGUAAGAAACUAGGAUUAGAUACCCUAUUAUCCUUACAAAAUUAAAUUUAAUUGGGAACUAACAUUUUAUAGAAAAUGUAAACCUAAAUUUUAUGGCGGCAAUAAAAAUAUAUAGGGGAACUUACCACAUAAUAGAUAACCACCAAGAUAAUUACCUUCAUAAAAAAGUUUGUAUACCGUCGUUUUUAUUGUCCCUUAAGGGGUUUAUAAAAUAUACUCAUAUAAUAUAACAGAUCAAGGUGCAUCUAAUAUGGAGGAGUAGGCGAGUUACAAUAAUAAAAAUUUCCAAUUAGUCUUUAAAAUAAGCUAUGAAGAUGGACUUAUAAGUAUAAAUAUAUUACUGUUAAAAUUAGAAUGUACCUUUUGUUGUGCACAAAUCGCCCGUCAUUCUCUUUAUUAAAAAGAGACAAGUCGUAACAUAGUAGAGGCAGCGGAAGCUGCCUCUGUAAUAAA